rnacentral:ncRNA from 1 species
AUGCUAACUAAGGGGUGCUACCGCAAUUGCGGAUGCUGAGAUCAGACCCAUCGAACCUGUCCAGGCAAUGCUGGCGUAGGGAAAAUGAGAAAAACCGAU